rnacentral:lncRNA from 1 species
GUUGGGAUGGGCGGGCUAGCGGCAGAUUUGGCGGAGCGGGCCUUGACUGAUGAUGUUCAGAUCGAUUGGGACAGUGCACAGAUGUUGAAGCCAGUUAUUAAGCCGACUCGGACGAUUACCCAGGAGAUUGUUGGGAUUCUAACCAGAAGGCGGAGGCGGGACCUCAUUGGCGAUAGACAUGCUGCUGACUUGCCCGCAGCAUGGAGGUGUUUAUUGAGAGAAUACGGAAAGAUGUGAGAUGGAUUUGAGCGCCUUGAGGUGUCUGCUCUGUGCGCUGUCCUGUAUUUUAUCUUUAUUUAUUUUAGUUUUCUUAUUUUUAUUUUCUGUUUUGUUGUAUGUACUUAUUAUUUGUAUAUCUUGCUAUAGCUAUGAUUUUGGCCUAUAC